CAGCAGACACAUUCCAGCCAAUCAGCAGGAGACCCUCCCUCCCAGACCCUCCACCUCCUGGACAGCAUCCAUUUUGAAGCUGCAUUCUUAGUGAGCUGUCCAGGAGGUGGGAGGGUCUGGGAAGGAGGGUCUGCUGCUGAUUGGCUGGAAUGUGUCUGCUG
rnacentral:miRNA from 1 species